rnacentral:rRNA from 1 species
CCCUAUACAGGAGGAUAGCUUUCGGAAACGAGAAUUAAUACUCCAUAAAAUUAUCAUGAGGCAUCUUGUGGUAAUUAAAGAUGAGUCGGUAUAGGAUGGGCGUGCGUCCGAUUAGUUAGUUGGUGCGGUAACGGCGUACCAAGACGAUGAUCGGUAGGGGUUCUGAGAGGAAGAUCCCCCACACGGGCACUGAGACACGGGCCCGACUCCUACGGGAGGCAGCAGUAAGGAAUAUUGGACAAUGGGUGGAAGCCUGAUCCAGCCAUGCCGCGUGCAGGAAGAAGGUCCUAUGGAUUGUAAACUGCUUUUGCAGGGGAGAAAUAAGGUGAUUUUAUCACCGAUGAUAGUACCUUGCGAAUAAGCAUCGGCUAACUUCGUGCCAGCAGCCGCGGUAAGACGAAGGAUGCGAGCGUUAUCCGGAUUCACUGGGUUUAAAGGGUGCGUAGGCGGGUUAAGAAGUCUCAAGUUAAAGAUUGGUGCUUAACGUCAGGAUUGCUUGAGAUACUCUUAAUCUUGAGAUAGUGUGACGUUACUGAAAUAUGGCAAGUAGAGGUGAAAUUCAUAGAUAUGCCAUAGAACACCGAAAGCGAAGGCAGGUAACGAAUACUAAUCUGACGCUGAGUGCACGAAAGCGUGGGGAUCAAACAGGAUUAGAUACCCUGGUAGUCCACGCUGUAAGCGAUGAUGACUUGUUGUUCGGGGCAUAAGUUCUGAGUGACAAAGCGAAAGCGAUAAGUCAUCCACCUGGGGAGUACGCCGGCAACGGUGAAACUCAAAGGAAUUGGCGGGGGCCCGCACAAGCGGAGGAGCAUGUGGUUUAAUUCGAUGGUACGCGAGGAACCUUACCUGGGCUUGAAAGUUAGGGACGGACGCUGAAAGGUGUCUUUCGUAGCAAUACGACCCGAAACUAGGUGCUGCAUGGCUGUCGUCAGCUCGUGCCGUGAGGUGUUUGGUUAAGUCCAUAAACGCGCGCAACCCCUAUUGUUAGUUGCCAACAGGUAAAGCUGGGGACUCUAACAAAACUGCUUCGGUAACGGAGAGGAAGGAGGGGAUGACGUCAAGUCAUCACGGCCCUUACGUCCAGGGCUACACACGUGCUACAAUGGUAGAUAACAGAGGGCAGCGAACUUGUAAAAGGGAGCCAAUCCCCUAAACUCUACCCCAGUUCGGAUUGAGGUCUGCAACUCGACCUCAUGAAGCUGGAUUCGCUAGUAAUCGCGCAUCAGCCACGGCGCGGUGAAUACGUUCCCGGGCCUUGCACACACCGCCCGUCAAGCCAUGGGAGUCGGGGGUGCCUAAAGUUGAUUCCCGAAAGGGGUUGCCUAGGGCAAAACCGAUGACUGGGGC